UGUGCCCUAUUCCAGCAUUCCCACCUCCUUCUGUUCCCUCCUCUGCUCCUCUGUGCCAGGUGGGCCUCCUCCUUGCCAGCCUGCAAAUUUGAAUUCAUCUUUCAAAACCAACCUCAGCUACCUCACCUUUUCUAUGAAUCCUUCUGACCACCCUGACAGAGAACUGAUCUCUCCCUCCUGCGGUGACUGCAAGGUACCACACUGACUCGGCCUCGACUUCCGCAGGCUCAUGCCUCAUUCCGAUUCUGCCUGACUCAGACUGCUCAGGAUGGAGUUCGGCUGGUUUGGAGGGAACCCUGCCGCAGGAGCAGAAGUGACGUUCCCGAGUUCAUUACAUGGUUGGUGCCUUCGUCUCCUUCAGGUAUGAGGAGCACCCUAGGGCCCACAGGUGUCAUAAGUCAUCCAUGUGAUGCUGGAAGGGGCUGCUGACCACUAGAUCUACAUUCUUGCUGAACAAGUCUCCACCUGCCCAGGCCUGGCCUUGCACACAAGAAUCAUACGUUUCCAGUCUGUGGUCACUUGGCCUCUUUCCAGCCUUUCUGUGUGAGUGAAUGGGAGGAGCAGACACUUCCUGCAUGGUUUGUCUUACUUCUCCCUUACAUCCAGUUCAAUCUGAACUUUGACAUUCAAGGCAGGACUGGAGGGAGCAAGGAAGAGAUGAUCUAGAAUCUUCUGUUCCUGGUGCUGUCUCAGACCCUCAGGAUUCAGCAUAGCAGGAUGGUCCCAGGCAGUGAGAAGUUAUCCACUAGGUAUCCUGGAAAUACAUGAAGGGAUACAAAAACAUUCUGGGCAAAUGUUGUGGCCAUGGUCUGCCUGCUUAGGAGGUCCUGGGGACUGUCAAGAAGGAUCUGAUGUCUUCCAUCAGCCCCUUAUGAGGGGACAGAACCUCACUCUGAAAACAGGGCCAGAAUCAGAGGUGAGGGUGCUGUGUCCUUGGUGUCUCACACUCGGGACACUGGGGAGAUGUCCAGCCUCAGACUUGGGUCCUGUCCUGACAAUGACUCUCGACACCACCCUCCUCCCUUGGGAGGCAGGUGGCAUAACCCCAUGCAGAGAGAAAAGGCUUCCUCCCCAGGGCAACUUUCUUGGUCCUGCCAGAGGGGCUGCCUUAUCCCCAAACCCUCCCUCUCCCAGGCCCCCAGCUCAGCACCCACCAGAUCCUGCCAAUCCCCUUUAUCAUCUCUCAGGCUUCCUUCCCUUUCUUCACAGGCCUUCCCAAAGACACAUCACCUGAAACCCCCAGUGGUGACCAGUCCCUUUCAUAACCUCUCCUCACCCCUCGGUGAGAUGAAUCUUCCUUAAAGCCUGGCUUGCCUCAUAUCACUUUCCUGUCAAAAGCUCGGUGGGGACUGGGCGGGCCUCUUGGGUAAAAUCCUUUCUUUGGCCUUGUGUCAAAGCCUUUCCCAUGUAGCCCAAAUUUCCCAAGCUUGUCACCAGCACCUCUCUACAUUGGGCUAUUUGUCCUUCGAAUAUACCGUUUGUCCACGCACUCAUUUAUCUUGAACAGAGACUGAUACGGUGAAAACCAUCUUCCAGUUUGUGAAGGGGCAGAGACAAGGAGCAAGGAGAGGACCCACUGAUGGGUGCUGACACAUGAGGCAGUCUUGGACUUUUAAAAAAAUUUAAGUAUCUUUUGGACUGAGAAAUUUAUUUUAUUAUAUUGGUGCUUAUAAAGUAAUAUAUUUUAAAGUUAUUUUCAAAAGUCACAUUAUUUUAAAAGACAUGGAUAU